UGGGGAAUAUUGCACAAUGGGGGAAACCCUGAUGCAGCGACGCCGCGUGAGCGAAGAAGUAUUUCGGUAUGUAAAGCUCUAUCAGCAGGGAAGAAAAUGACGGUACCUGACUAAGAAGCCCCGGCUAACUACGUGCCAGCAGCCGCGGUAAUACGUAGGGGGCAAGCGUUAUCCGGAUUUACUGGGUGUAAAGGGAGCGUAGACAGCGAGGCAAGUCUGAUGUGAAAACCCGGGGCUCAACCCCGUGACUGCAUUGGAAACUGUUUUGCUUGAGUGCCGGAGAGGUAAGCGGAAUUCCUAGUGUAGCGGUGAAGUGCGUAGAUAUUAGGAGGAACACCAGUGGCGAAGGCGGCUUACUGGACGGUAACUGACGUUGAGGCUCGAAAGCGUGGGGAGCAAACAGGAUUAGAUACCCUGGUAGU
rnacentral:rRNA from 1 species